rnacentral:rRNA from 1 species
AACGAACGCUGGCGGCAGGCUUAACACAUGCAAGUCGAGCGCCCCGCAAGGGGAGCGGCAGACGGGUGAGUAACGCGUGGGAAUCUACCCAUCUCUACGGAAUAACGCAUGGAAACGUGUGCUAAUACCGUAUACGUCCUUCGGGAGAAAGAUUUAUCGGAGAUGGAUGAGCCCGCGUUGGAUUAGCUAGUUGGUGGGGUAAAGGCCUACCAAGGCGACGAUCCUUAGCUGGUCUGAGAGGAUGAUCAGCCACACUGGGACUGAGACACGGCCCAGACUCCUACGGGAGGCAGCGGUGGGGAAUAUUGGACAAUGGGCGCAAGCCGGAUCCAGCCAUGCCGCGUGAGUGAUGAAGGCCCUAGGGUUGUAAAGCUCUUUCACCGGUGAAGAUAAUGACGGUAACCGGAGAAGAAGCCCCGGCUAACUUCGUGCCAGCCGCCGCAGUAAAAC